GACGAACGCUGGCGGCGCGCCUAACACAUGCAAGUCGAACGAGCGAGAGAGAGCUUGCUUUCUCGAGCGAGUGGCGAACGGGUGAGUAACGCGUGAGGAACCUGCCUCAAAGAGGGGGACAACAGUUGGAAACGACUGCUAAUACCGCAUAAGCCCACGGUGCCGCAUGGCACAGAGGGAAAAGGAGCAAUCCGCUUUGAGAUGGCCUCGCGUCCGAUUAGCUAGUUGGUGAGGUAAUGGCCCACCAUGGCGACGAUCGGUAGCCGGACUGAGAGGUUGAACGGCCACAUUGGGACUGAGACACGGCCCAGACUCCUACGGGAGGCAGCAGUGGGGAAUAUUGCACAAUGGGGGAAACCCUGAUGCAGCGACGCCGCGUGGAGGAAGAAGGUCUUCGGAUUGUAAACUCCUGUUGUUGGGGAAGAUAAUGACGGUACCCAACAAGGAAGUGACGGCUAACUACGUA
rnacentral:rRNA from 1 species